rnacentral:rRNA from 1 species
GACGAACGCUGGCGGCGUGCUUAACACAUGCAAGUCGAACGGAAAGGCCCUGCUUUUGUGGGGUGCUCGAGUGGCGAACGGGUGAGUAACACGUGAGUAACCUGCCCUUGACUUUGGGAUAACUUCAGGAAACUGGGGCUAAUACUGGAUAGGAGCUCCUGCUGCAUGGUGUGGGUUGGAAAGUUUCGGCGGUUGGGGAUGGACUCGCGGCUUAUCAGCUUGUUGGUGGGGUAGUGGCUUACCAAGGCUUUGACGGGUAGCCGGCCUGAGAGGGUGACCGGCCACAUAGGGACUGAGAUACCGCCCAGACUCCUACGGGAGGCAGCAGUGGGGAAUAUUGCACAAUGGGCGGAAGCCUGAUGCAGCAACGCCGCGUGCGGGAUGACGGCCUUCGGGGUGGAAACCGCGUUCGCCUGUGACGAAGCGUGAGUGACGGUAAUGUGUAAAGAAGCACCGGCUAACUACGUG